rnacentral:tRNA from 1 species
GCCGGGGUGGCGGAACGGGCAUACGCAGUGGCCUUAGGAGCCACCGUCCCGAGAGGACAUACAGGUUCGAAUCCUGUCCCCGGCA